CAAUAGCGUAUAUUUAAGUUGCUGCAGUUAAAAAGCUCGUAGUUGGAUUUCGGGUGGGAAUGGCCGGUCCGCCGUUUCGGUGUGCACUUGCUACGCCCACCUUGCUGCCGGGGACGUGCUCUUGAGUUCACGCUCGGGACACGGAGUCGGCGAGGUUACUUUGAGUAAAUUAGAGUGUUCAAAGCAGGCCUACGCUCUGAAUACAUUAGCAUGGAAUAACACGAUAGGACUCUGGCCUAUCUUGUUGGUCUGUAGGACCGGAGUAAUGAUUAAGAGGGACAGUCUGGGGCAUUCGUAUUUCAUUGUCAGAGGUGAAAUUCUUGGAUUUAUGAAAGACGAACUACUGCGAAAGCAUUUGCCAAGGAUGUUUUCAUUAA
rnacentral:rRNA from 1 species